rnacentral:rRNA from 1 species
AUACGGAGGGUGCGAGCGUUGUUCGGAAUUAUUGGGCGUAAAGAGCAUGUAGGCGGUCUGUUAAGUCUGGUGUGAAAGCCCGGGGCUCAACCCCGGAAGUGCAUUGGAUACUGGCAGACUUGAGUAUGGGAGAGGAAAGCGGAAUUCCGAGUGUAGGAGUGAAAUCCGUAGAUAUUCGGAGGAACACCAGUGGCGAAGGCGGCUUUCUGGACCAAUACUGGCGCUGAGAUGCGAAAGCGUGGGGAGCAAACAGGAUUAGAAACCCUAGUAGUCC